UAAUUGGAGUUUUUAGACUCCACAAAUAAUACCAAAGAGAUGACA
rfam:Gossypium hirsutum cultivar TM-1 chromosome 23, whole genome shotgun sequence